rnacentral:tRNA from 1 species
UUCCUGGUAGCUCAGCUGGUAAAGAAUCUGCCUGCAAUGCAGAAGACCUGGGUUUGAUCCUGUGUUGGGAAG